rnacentral:Y_RNA from 1 species
GGUUGGUCCCAGUGGUGUUUACGACAAAUAUAUCACAACCAGUUACAGGUUCCUUUGUUCCUUCUCCAUUCCCACUGCUUCACUUGACCAGCCUUUA